UAUCCAGAUGUUCCAGGGAAUGAGUGUAGGACCGGAAAGAUUACGUCUGCAACAGGUCCACUCCACCGACUUGUUUGGGCAGCAUGAAAAAACGCCGAUACUUUAAGCUGCUCUUGAUGGUGGUGGUUGUCCUUUUGUUGUCCUACUACUACUUGUAUGACAAAAUUAAAUCUAGUAGUGGUGCUCAUAGGUGUGCCAUUAUUAGAUGUGAAACCCAGUCUGCUUGGUGGGGGAAGAAACCGAAGGAGGAAGCUGCAAUGCCUAAAUAUUUAAUGCCUGACUUCUAAGGUAUAGUGACUGAUUAAAAUUUCACAUUUGUUUAUUUCAAACUCGGUGGCUGUGGGGGAAGUCUUUAAAAUACAAAUGAAAAUGAAUGUGCACUGGUUCUAGCUUUUGGCAGAGUAUUGAACUCUGCACAUGCUGUUUCAGUUUUGUUGUUCUUUUAAUGGCAGCUAUAGGUUUUAUGAUGCACUUCAAGUAGUAUGGAAAGCAUGGCUUAAAAGUAUGUUAUUUAAUCAUUGAAUUAAUUCUAGUAUGUUUUAGGUAUUGUGGUGUUUGAGCCUUGCUGGCUUUAGUUGGAGUAUGUAUUUUAUUUGGCUAUAUAAGGUGCAAAAAAACUCACACCCACAAAAGGACUUUGGUUAUUUGCCAGUUUCUAUAAAUGGACUAUGAAGAUCAAAUAGGAAAAGCUCAAACUGUAACAAGAACCUCCGAAGUGCAAAAUGCUGAUCUUGGUGCUUAAGGGAAUUGUUUGUUUGUAUCAACACCAAUCAUCAGAUUAAAUUCCACAGUUUGCUAGGUAAUCAAAGAGCAGCUCUGCAUCAAUUCUUGGGCAUUUUUUUGUGAAUCUGCCGGUCCUUUUGAUUAACCCUUUUUGACCCUCUGGUUAUAGUUCAAGAUCAGCCCAUAUGGGAGCCUUUAUAGUGGUGAAGCUAUCUCCAAGGAGCUUGUGUUUCUUCGUGCCUGAUACCUACUUGCCCAUCAACUGUCCUUAACCCCUCUCAAAGGCUUAAACUCUUGUAUACUAGAAGACUGCUGUAACCCUUUUAUGUGCCUAGACAGGAGUCAAGAUGCUUCCACCUGACAAAACUGUUCAUAGCAUAAUGGUUCAACCCUUCCCUGUUUCUCAAAACCUCUGUUCCCAAAGCAAAAGUGGAAUAUUUAAGAUGUUUAUGAUGCAGUGUAUUCAUUGGAUCUUUUCUUUUUCAUUCCUUCUGUGCUCAAAUUCAGCCUUGCCACAUGGUAUUUCCUUCCUCUUUCUAUCUUUUAUGCUUGGUGUCACUUAACUAAUAUAUGUUUUUAAUAGUUUUAGUUUGUGUCUAAAUUGUGUAACCCCAUUCAAUAGGUCUUGGCUCUACAUGUUGAUUUUCUAAGCGAUAAAACUAUUUUCCCUGGAAAGAAGCUGCGUAUUGGCUUCCCAGCCUUUGGGCUCGGGUCUACUUGAAUGGUUGAUUAUUUUUUUUAAACCUUGAGCACUGCAGCUGCACAAAUAAGCCAUGCCUGCAGGUGCAGUUUAAGUGUGCAGUGGCCCUUCUGUUGCGGUUAUUUCAAAGCUGAUGGUCUCGAACUACAUGGAAUGUAAGUUGUGACAAUAAUUUUAGCAUCAACAGAAGUCUUGAGUCAGGUUUUGUGUCUUGAAACAAACUGGGAAAGGAGACAUGGGGAGAUCACCAAACCAGGGAGGCAAAGGCAGUAACAAAUUGGGCACAAAAGCGAUAGAGCAAGUAAGAGAAACUGGAGGAGAAUGAGCUCCCUUUUUUUUUGCCUGUUUUCAAGUUUUAGAAUGUACUUCAUUUUGGGGUGGAGUUGGGCAUUAGUGAUUUGGACUAGGUUUAGUUUUAGUUUAGUUUAUUGGUUUUACAAUCUGCUAUGCGUUAAAAACAAAAUUGUGCAAAAACUUUAGUGUCUCAAUGGCUUUGCGAGUAUAUUUAUAUCUCAUUGUAGAGACUUCAUGUGGUCUUUUUAUUUAAUAAUCAUAUUGAAGCAUUUUGUUUUCCUUUUGAUUUAUGUAUACAUGUAAUUAAUCUUUCAAAAUCAAAAAGCCAACUAUUGUUUUGGGCAUUAAGACAUCAAAUUAAAGUGUGUACAGUAGCAUUGCAAAAGGUGGGAAAAUCACUUGGUUAGCAGUGUAAUUUCUAGCUGAUUAGUGCGUCUGGGCUCUAGAGAUACUAAUGGUUGGAUGUUUACAGCAUUCUACUGUUAAUUUUCAGUCUUCCAUGUAAUUUGCUUACUGAAUACCUUAAAUUUGCUUCCAGUCAUAAUCUGCUUGCCUACCUAUGCAUUUUUUUUACGAAUUCAUAAGUUUUUGCCAAUCUCUCAAAUUCUGUCGUCAAACUCUAGUUGAUUGAUUUGCUGAACAGCAAUCUGAUGGAGUGGCCUUAAAAGAACCAUAGCGCUUUAGCACAGUAAUAAUACUUGUACACUACAUAUGGUGUCUUCCGUCCUUCCACAAAAAGCAAUGAUACUUGUUAUAGGGAUGUAUUGUACGUGCUUAAAACAAAAUGACCAAUUUCUGCUCUCACAAAAUGGCCAACAAACAGAAAGAGGCAGCCUGCCUUAGAAUUAAAACACAAGAUGACUGGCAGACAAUAAAUAAGACUCUCAGUUUGUUCUAGCCAGCCUUUUAAUUAAAGAAACUGACAACAUCUUUGAACAAAGUUACACUAAGGCCAUGAGUGCCCCAUUCCAGAUGGUACUGAUAAGGGCAUGUCUCUUAAUCCUAGCCCUCAUUAAUAAAAGUAAUUUCCCCAGUAAAUGAGCGCCAAGCAUUAAAUAAACCUAAUCUCCUCCUCAAGUCAUUACCAGGACAAUAGUUAGUUAUUUUGUAAUUGUUUCUUUGAAACAAAUUCCUCUUCAAUAGGUUCUAGC